rnacentral:lncRNA from 1 species
CAGAGCUCUGGGCAAAGCUCGGUGAGAUGAAUGGAGCUGUCACUGGAUAAAGGGAGAUUCCCGGACAGCACAUCCUUGUCAACACUCUCUCCUGUGUCACCGCAGAUGCUGGGACGAGGCACAGCAGAGGCCAUGGGACCUGGUCAAAGCGAGACUUCUUCCUUGGCCCAUUUUGAUUUCUUUUUUGUUGUCGUCGUUGAGACAGAGUCUAGCUUUGUCGCCCAGGCUGGAGUGCAGUGGCGUGAUCUCAGCACACUGCAACCUUUACAUCCUGGAUUCAAGUGAUUCUCCUGCCUCAGCCUCCCGAGUAGCUGGGAUUACAGGUGCCUGCCAUCAUGCCCAGCUAAUUUUUGUAUUUUUAGUAGAGACGGGGUUUCACCAUGUUGGCCAGGCUGGUCUCGAACUCCUGACUUCAGGUGAUCCACUCGCCUUGGCCUCCCAAAGUGCUGGGAUUACAGGCAUGAGCCACUGCGCCCGGCCUCCCACUUUGAUUUCUGAACCUUUUGGGUAACAUCUCCUUCCCUCACAUUUCUUGUGUGUUGAGGUCUUUUGUUCAGGCUUUCAGUGGAUGAAAGGACAGAGGAGGAAACAGCUGUGGGAAGAGCAGCUGCUGUGCCUCCCUGCCUCUCUGCUUGGCCACAGCUCCCCUCCCUCUCUGGCUGCCCUAGCACUGAACUCUGAUCUUCAGCAGUGAGACCUAGUACCUGCCUCCGCCUCACUGGGAAGCAAAGCCGCAGAGCAGGUGCAGCUGUGUGUGGCAUGGCCAGCCACAAGCCAGAAAAACCAGCAAACCAGGGCCGGGAACAAUACUUCCUGGGACCAGCCCCGGGGACCACUUUGGAAAUGAGCAUGGCAGAGGCAGCCACAGGUGGAGCAAACGGUUCGGGCUGAGAGAAGUCCCCACCCUCGCAUCAGUGGAAAGCAUGCAGAAAGACAGCCUGUGAGCAGAAAAAGGAGCGGCCAGAUUCCCAAGUCCGCACACCGUGGAGAGAGGAAAGCUCUAAGCAGCCAUUCCCUGGAUGACCUUGCCUUCAGAGCAGUGGAAUUUUAACUAGGAAAUACUGAAGUCAUGAGGAGUUGGCAGAAGCCGCCCAAGCUGCUCAGUCAUAAGCUGCGGAACAACCGGAGAGGCUGUGAGAAGCCACAUGCAAGCCGCAAUUACGAGGGAGGUGCAAAUAGAAGAAGGCUGUGAAGUCAAGAAAAGCCACGUGGUGCAGGGUGAGGAGGCCGGGGGGUGGGAAGAUGAGAACAGGGGACCAGUGACAUUAACGCUGGGAAGAGAGCUGCAGUCCCGACCUUCCCGUGGCCUCACUUCUGUCUCUUCCCUUCCUGAGGUCAGAUUGCUCUGCUUUGCCUGGCUUCCACGUUGGAACCUCCUCAUGCUAAAUCUGUACUUCAGAUGUUGAGUAAGUCUCCAUUCUUCACCAUAAAAAGGACAGAACUCAAAUGCUCUUGCUUUUUUGAUUAAUAGACUCUUAAUUUUCGAGAUGGAGUUUUGCUCGUCUUCCCCAGGCUGGAGUGCAAUGGUGUGAUCUCGGCUCACUGCAACCUCCACCUCCCGGGUUCAAGCAAUUCUCCUGCCUCAGCCUCCCGAGUAGCUGGGAUUACAGGCGCCCACCAUCACGUCCAGCUACUUUUUUGUAUUUUUAGUAGAGAUGGGGUUUCACCAUGUUGGCCAGGCUGGUCUUGAACUCCUGACCUCAGGUGAUCCACCUGCCUCGCUAGGAUUACGGGUGUGUAAUCCCUAAGGUGCUGGGAUUACAGGCGUGAGCCACCACGCCUGGCCAAUAGACUUCAUUUUUUAGAGCGGUUUUAGGUUCACAGCAAAAUUGAGCCCAAAGGACAGAGUUCCUGUAUACCCCUCACUCCCCACUGCUACCCCUGUUAUUAACAUCUCCUGUCAGUGUGGUCUCUUUGUUAUGACUGAUGAGUCAAUGUUGAUACAGUCUUAUUCACUAAAGUCCAUCGUUUAUUUUAUUUAUUUAUUUAUUUUAUUUUUUUGAGACGGAGUCUCGCUCUGUUGCCCAGGCUGGAGUGCAGUGGCG